rnacentral:rRNA from 1 species
AGCAGCCGCGGUAAUUCCAGCUCCAAUAGCGUAUAUUAAAGUUGUUGCAGUUAAAAAGCUCGUAGUUGAAUUUCGGGGUCAGUAGAUUGGUCGUGCCACUGGUAUGUACUGGUCUCACUGAUUCCUCCUUCCUGAUGAGCCGUAAUGCCAUUAAUUUGGUGUUGCGAGGAAUCUGGACUGUUACUUUGAAAAAAUUAGAGUGUUUAAAGCAAGCUAACGCUUGAAUACAUUAGCAUGGAAUAAUGAAAUAGGACGUUCGGUCUUAUUUUGUUGGUUUCUAAGAUUGACGUAAUGAUUAAUAGGGAUAGUUGGGGGCAUUAGUAUUCAAUUGUCAGAGGUGAAAUUCUUGGAUUUAUUGAAGACUAACUACUGCGAAAGCAUUUGCCAAGGAUGUUUUCAUUAAUCAAGAACGAAAGUUAGGGGAUCGAAGACGAUCAGAUACCGUCGUAGUCUUAACCAUAAACUAUGCCGACUAGGGAUCGGAUGAUGUUAAUUUUUUAAUGACUCA